rnacentral:rRNA from 1 species
ACCUGCCCUAUGAAUAAUUUGUUUUUAAAUGGCCGCGGUACUUUGACCGUGCAAAGGUAGCAUAAUAAUUAGUUUCUUAAUUGGGAGCUGGAAUGAAAGGUCGAACGAGAAAAAUACUGUCUCAAUUUAAUUUGAAUUAGAAUUUUAUUUUUAAGUAAAAAAGCUUAAAUAUUUUUAAAAGACGAGAAGACCCUAUAGAGUUUUAUAUAAAUUAUUAUUAUUAAAAGUUAAAGUAUUUUAGAUUUAAUUAUAAUAAUUUAUAUUUGGUUGGGGCGAUUAAAAAAUUAAUUUAACUUUUUUUAGAUUAAACCAUUGAUUUAUGAAUAAGUGAUCCAUAUUUUAUGAUUAAAAGAUUAAAUUA